UGGUUCUGGCAUCGAUGAAGAACGCAGCGAAAUGCGAUAAGUAAUGCGAAUUGCAGAAUUCUACGAGUCAUCGAAUCUUUGAACGCACAUUGCGCCCGCUAGCAUUCUAGCGGGCAUGCCUGUCCGAGCGUCAUUUCAACCCUCGAACCUCCGGGUUUGGUGUUGGGGUCAUCUGCUGCCCAGGCGGCAGAGCUCCGAAAUACAGUGGCGGGCCCCUCGGUAUCCCGAACGUAGUAGUAUUUCUGUUCGUUCAGGGCGUGCCGACGGUGUUCAGCCGUUAAACCUACUAUAUUUACAAGGUUGACCUCGGAUCAGGUAGGAAUACCCGCUGA
rnacentral:misc_RNA from 1 species